rnacentral:rRNA from 1 species
CGGAAGGGCACCACCAGGAGUGGAGCCUGUGGCUUAAUUUGACUCAACACGGGAAACCUCACCCGGUCCGGACACUGGAAGGAUUGACAGACUAAAGCUCUUUCUUGAUUCAGUGGGUGGUGGUGCAUGGCCGUUCUUAGUUGGUGGAGUGAUUUGUCUGGUUAAUUCCGAUAACGAACGAGACUCUCGCCUGCUAAAUAGUUUUCCAUACGUUAGGUUAUGGAACGUAAACUUCUUAGAGGUACAAGUGGCGUUUAGCCACACGAAACAGAGCAAUAACAGGUCUGUGAUGCCCUUAGAUGUCCGGGGCCGCACAUGUGCUACAAUGAAUGCAUCAACGUGUAUCAGCCUCGCCCGAAAGGGUUGGGGAAUCCGCUGAACGGCAUUCUCAGUAGGGAUUGGGGAUUGCAAUUAUUUCCCAUGAACACGGAAUUCCCAGUAGGCGCCAGUCAUCAGCUGGCGUCGAUUGAGUCCCUGCCCUUUGUACACACCGCCCGUCGCUACUACCGAUCGCUCUUGUUAAUGAGCUUGUCAGAUUGGACCCGGUGAGCAGUCGUUGGUUUCAUCUCCUCGCGGGGUGUGCCUUCGUCUGCGAGCUUUUGGUGUAUGCCGAGAAGAUCGGCAAAUUAUCUGGAGUAGAGGAAGUAAAAGUCGUAACAAGGUAUCCGUAGGUGAACCUGCGGAUGNNNNNNNNNNCACACGCACACACACACACAGGAAGUGGGCAGACUCCCGAGGAGAGUACGGCGACCUCGUACCCAGCAGAGGAUGCCUACGUACUGGAAUCGGUCGAGGCUGUUUGCUUCGAACAUUAUGAAACUUUUGUGGAUGAAUCACAAAAAAAAAAUAAAAAGCUCCGGGAAGGGAAACCCGGUAUUACAAAAACUCCCAGUAAGACACGUACUACUCUGUGCGGUGGAUCACUCGGCUCGUGUGUCGAUGAAGAGCGCAGCUAGCUGCGAGAAGUAAUGUGAAUUGCAGAACCACACUGAAACAUCGACAUCUUGAACGCACAUGGCGGCCUCCGGGUCACUCCGGAGGCCACGUCUGUCUGAGGGUCGGCUUUGUAGUCAUUCUGAGUCUGCGGUCACCGAACGAACGAACGGGAGUAGAUGAAUACAUCUACCCCGAAUUAUUUAUAGUGUUCGGCGUCCGCCUGGGAGUUUCUCGGUAAAGAAGGAGCCGCCGGGUGGCGAGUUACUGAACAAACCCUCGGAGCGAGCUCAGCUCAUUGUAUUAUACAGUGUCGUACACACUACACGAUACAGAGAGAGAAAAACACCCGAGACAAACUCGUCUGUUUCCUCAAAGUCGGGGAACGGUCACGCAAGCCGACCUCAGAUCAG